GACGAACGCUGGCGGCGUGCUUAACACAUGCAAGUCGAACGAAAAUACCAAGCUUGCUUGGUUGAUUAGUGGCGAACGGGUGAGUAACACGUGAGUAACCUGCCCCUUACUUUCCUGGAUAACUGCUCGAAAGGGUAGCUAAUACGGGAUAUUCUGACCGGCCUGCAUGGGUUGGUUUGGAAAGGUUGUUUUUUCUGGUGAGGGAUGGGCUCGCGGCCUAUCAGCUUGUUGGUGGGGUGAUGGCCUACCAAGGCUUUGACGGGUAGCCGGCCUGAGAGGGUGGACGGUCACACUGGGACUGAGAUACGGCCCAGACUCCUACGGGAGGCAGCAGUGGGGAAUAUUGCACAAUGGGCGCAAGCCUGAUGCAGCGACGCCGCGUGAGGGAUGAAGGCCUUCGGGUUGUAAACCUCUUUCGUCAGGGAACAAGGCACUACGUUUUGGUGGUGUUGAGGGUACCUGGAUAAGAAGCGCCGGCUAACUACGUGCCAGCAGCCGCGGUAAUACGUAGGGCGCAAGCGUUGUCCGGAAUUAUUGGGCGUAAAAAGCUCGUAAGCGGCUGGUCUCGUCUGUCGUGAAAACUUUCCGGCUCAACCGGGGGCUUGGGGGGGGUACGGGCCAGCGAAGGGGGGAGGGGGGGAUGGAGAUCCUGGUGUAACGCGAAAAGCGCAAAAAAAGCGAGAAGAACCGUGUCGAUAGAGGAGUAUUGGGUGUUGCAGCGCUGUGAGCGCCACUAGAGACCACAGGAGAAAUACGCCAUGAGUAAGAGGAGAUCAACUGGGAGUGUAGGCCCGCGGCCCCCGCCCCCGCCGAGGGGGGAGGGGUGGGGGGACGCGCGCUGGUUGGGUGUCGUGGCCGUUGAUAU
rnacentral:rRNA from 1 species